GGGGAUUUAGCUCAGUGGCAUAAGCACCUGCCUUGCAAGCAGUCAUGAGUUUAAUCCCUG
rnacentral:tRNA from 1 species